rnacentral:rRNA from 1 species
GACGAACGCUGGCGGCGUGCUUAACACAUGCAAGUCGAGCGGAAAGGCCCUUUCGGGGGUACUCGAGCGGCGAACGGGUGAGUAACACGUGAGUAAUCUGCCCUGGACUUCGGGAUAGCUUCGGGAAACCGAGAUUAAUACCGGAUAUGACAUUGUCUCGCAUGGGAUGGUGUGGAAAGUUUUUUCGGUUCGGGAUGUGCUCGCGGCCUAUCAGCUUGUUGGUGAGGUAAUGGCUCACCAAGGCUUCGACGGGUAGCCGGCCUGAGAGGGUGACCGGCCACACUGGGACUGAGACACGGCCCAGACUCCUACGGGAGGCAGCAGUGGGGAAUAUUGGACAAUGGGCGAAAGCCUGAUCCAGCAACGCCGCGUGAGGGAUGACGGCCUUCGGGUUGUAAACCUCUUUCAGCGCAGACGAAGCGAAAGUGACGGUAUGCGCAGAAGAAGGACCGGCCAACUACGUGCCAGCCGCCGCCGUAACAC